AGAGGCUUAGGAUGAAUUAGACCAAGGGCCUUCAAAGCCCUCAGUGGAGGUGAAAAUCCUCCAGCCCCUG
rnacentral:tRNA from 1 species